UGCCAGCAGCCGCGGCAACACGCGGGGCGCAAGCGUUAUUCGGAAUUAUUGAGCGUAAAGGGCGCGCAGGCGGUCUUGUCCGUCAGGUGUGAAAGCUCGGGGCUCAACCCCGGAAGUGCACUUGAAACAGCAAAACUUGAAUACGGAGAGGAGAGCGGAAUUCCUGGUGUAGAGGUGAAAUUCGUAGAUAUCAGGAGGAACACCGAUGGCGAAGGCAGCUCUCUGGACAGAUAUUGACGCUGAGGCGCGAAGGCGUGGGUAGCGAACAGGAUUAGAUA
rnacentral:rRNA from 1 species